UACACUCCUGCGGGAGGCAGCAGUGGGGAAUUUUGGACAAUGGGCGAAAGCCUGAUCCAGCAAUGCCGCGUGAGUGAAGAAGGCCUUCGGGUUGUAAAGCUCUUUUGUCAGGGAAGAAACGGUGAAAGCUAAUAUCUUUUGCUAAUGACGGUACCUGAAGAAUAAGCACCGGCUAACUACGUGCCAGCAGCCGCGGUAAUACGUAGGGUGCAAGCGUUAAUCGGAAUUACUGGGCGUAAAGCGUGCGCAGGCGGUUUUGUAAGUCUGAUGUGAAAUCCCCGGGCUCAACCUGGGAAUUGCAUUGGAGACUGCAAGGCUAGAAUCUGGCAGAGGGGGGUAGAAUUCCACGUGUAGCAGUGAAAUGCGUAGAUAUGUGGAGGAACACCGAUGGCGAAGGCAGCCCCCUGGGUCAAGAUUGACGCUCAUGCACGAAAGCGUGGGGAGCAAACAGGAUUAGAUACCCUGGUAGUCCC
rnacentral:rRNA from 1 species